CCAGCAUUGUGCUAGGGGGAGGGGGAGUUACUAUUUCUAGCGAUCAUGGACGUUUGUAUUUAACUAAAAAUAAAAUGGCUUCACAAAAUAGUACGACAAGAUGCGUUUUGAAAAGGUCUACGGAUAUUAUUUCCAUGAUUGUAAGUAAAAUAAUUACUCGAAUGCGCACAUUCAGUGUUUGAAAGUCAAAGCUAAGGAAACACGGUGUUUUCAAAACCUGACGAAGAAAUAAAACAUAAGAUAUAGGCCUACUUUGGGGGCC